GACAACGCGAAGAACCUUACCAAGACUUGACAUAUACGAGAACGGGCCAGAAAUGGUCAACUCUUUGGACACUCGUAAACAGGUGGUGCAUGGUUGUCGUCAGCUCGUGUCGUGAGAUGUUGGGUUAAGUCCCGCAACGAGCGCAACCCUUAUCCUUAGUAGCCAGCGGUCCGGCCGGGCACUCUGGGGAGACUGCCAGGGAUAACCUGGAGGAAGGUGGGGAUGACGUCAAAUCAUCAUGCCCCUUAUGAUUUGGGCUACACACGUGCUACAAUGGCGUAAACAAAGGGAAGCGAUCACGUGAGUGUGAGCAAAUCUCAAAAUAACGUCCCAGUUCGGACUGUAGUCUGCAACCCGACUACACGAAGCUGGAAUCGCUAGUAAUCGCAGGUCAGCAUACUGCGGUGAAUACGUUCCCGGGUCUUGUACGUCGACGCGGCCG
rnacentral:rRNA from 1 species